UUCUUUUUUCCUUUUCUUUUUUUUUUUUUUUUACCACCAGGUUUUCGUUCUCCCCAACAACUUUGAUUUCUCUCCCGUUCGUUUGUUUUCUUGGUUCCUCGAAACCAAGUAUCGACGUUUCUCGUUCCUCUCCGCGAUCUUGUCUGGAUCCAGCGACCCGAGGCAAUCGUCCCCCUCCCUUAAUCGUCCCCGUCGAUUAAUCCCGACGCAUAAAUUCCUCGGUGAAUCCACCAAAAUUCCUCCCUUCGUUUCGGUGUGAACGACCGUUGUCCAACAACGACGGGUGAACGGCGAGCGCGCGUUUAUCUGGCCGCCGCCAUCGAUAUCGAAUAAUUCCAUCGCCGAGCGGAUCGAUAUCCUUCUUCGUCGUGCGUGUUUCCAAAGAAUAUAACCGAGGAGAGUGAGAGAGUGAGAGAAUGUGUGUGUGUGUGAAAGAGAGAGAGAGAGAGAGAGAGAGAGUGAGGA